rnacentral:rRNA from 1 species
GCCAAAUAUUUAGCCUAAAUACACCCCAUGUUCAAUCCCCACGCUAUAAUAAAAAUAAAACAUUUUAAUUUUAAGUAGAGGAGAUCAAAAAAAGUUUAAGCGCUUAAGAAACAGUACCGCAAGGGAAAAAUGAAACAAAAAUGAAAUAAAUUUCCAGCCCCUAAUAGCAGAGAUUAAAACUCG